rnacentral:pre_miRNA from 1 species
GGUGACAGAAGAGAGUGAGCACACAGGGUACUUUCUUGCAUGCUUGAGCCUUUCAUGCUUGAAGCUCUGCGUGCUCACCCUCUAUCUGUCAUCCACUUUUCUCUCUCUCUCUC